rnacentral:rRNA from 1 species
GAUGAACGCUGGCGGCGUGCCUAAUACAUGCAAGUCGAACGGUAACAGGAGGAGCCUUCCCUCUUGACGUUCGAGUCGCGCGCGUGAGUAACAUGUCGGUAACCCUGCCAUAUGGCUGGGGUUACCUACUGAAAACGGUACCAAUUACGGAUUAUAUACUGAACCCCAUGGUUCAAUAGCUACAGGCGGCUUUGCAGCCACUUAUCGCUGGUUCCGCGCCGCAUUAGCUAGUAGGUAGGGUAACGGCUUACCAAGGCAACGAUGCGUAGCCGACCUGAGAGGGUGAUCAGCCACACUGGAACUGAGACACGGUCCAGACUCCUACGGGAGGCAGCAGUAGGGAAUCUUGCGCAAUGGGCGAAAGCCUGACGGAGCAACGCCGCGUGUAUGAUGAAGGUCUUCGGAUCGUAAAACUCUGUUAGUAGGGAAGAACAAAGGUGUAAGUAUCUAUGCACGUAUUGACGGUACCUAAUCAGAAAGCCACGGCUAACUACGUG